rnacentral:lncRNA from 10 species
GGCAGUUCCACAAACAAAGAUGGUUUAAUAGAUUUCAGCAUGUUUCCACUUGACAAUGUUAUACGAAAAUAGAAUCUUUAUUAAAAUAGCAAGGCAUAACAAUCACUGCUACUCAGGAAACACUGUGUUUAUUCUUUUUAAUCAUCAAAAUCAAUGACUUUGGGCAAGACCUGUGAAAUCUCAGAGCCUGUUUCUCCAUCUGGAGAACAGGCAGGUAGGGCAUUGCCAGCUCCCUGUGAGUGGGGGCCACUGGUGGGAGGAGAUGGCCCUGGUCGCCCAUGGGAUGAGAAACUUACUCCUGCUUCUGUCCCUGGAGAAGGUCAGGGAGAUGCCAGUGUGGCCUUAAGGCAAUUCUAACACUUGCUUAUCUCGUUUUGUAACAGAGAAGAGAGAGCUCUCAGCCUUGGCCACACCAGCAUGGAGCCCCCUUCCCCAGCGAAUUUAUUUUUCAUGGUCACUUUCUAUUUUUGGCAGUGAGUGAUACAUGUUAUCCACUAUUGGCAGCAAUUGGGGGGAAAAAAAGUUCAUUUUAAAAACAAAGUUUAGGCCGGGCAUGGUGGCUCAUGCCUGUAAUCCUAGCACUUUGGGAGGCCCAGGCAGGCAAAUCACGAGGUCAGGAGUUCGAGACCAGCCUGACCAACAUGGGGAAACCCCGUCUCUACUAAAAAUACAAAAAUCAGUUGGGCGUGGUGGUGUGCGCCUGUAAUCUCAGCUACUUGGGAAGCUGAGGCAGAAGCAUUGCUUAAACCCAGGAGGUGGAGGUUGUGGUGAGCUGAGAUCGUGCCAUUGCACUCCAGCCUGGGCAAUAAGCGUGAAACUCCGUCUCAAAAAAAAAAAAAAAAGUUUAAAAAGCGAGUCUGUUUAAAGGAGAAUAUUUGGUAAACAACAAUAUUAAAAUAUAGCAAAUAAUAGUAACAAUAAUCACAAUGGUAAGGAAACACUUCAUUAGAUCAACUUAAGAGUAUUUUAUUCUUGGCUGGGCGCGGUGGCUCACACCUGUAAUCCCAGCACUUUGGGAGGCCGAGGCGGGCAGAUCACGAGCUCAGGAGAUCAAGACCAUCCUGGCUAAUACGGUGAAAUCCCAUCUCUACUAAAAAUCCAAAAAUUAGCCGGGUGUGGUGGCGGGUGCCUGUAGUCCCAGCUACUCAGGAGGCUGAGGCAGGAGAAUGGUGUGAACACGGGAGGCAGAGCUUGCAGUGAGCCGAGAUCACGCCACUGCACUCUAGCCUGGGCAGCAGAGCGAGACUCCAUCUCAAAAAAAAAAAAAAAAAAAGAGUAUUUCAUUCUUGCCACUGAGCUUAAAAAGAAAGAAAGAAAGAAAGAGUAUUCCUAACAUAUGUCCAGUAAUUUUGAUUCUUAAGCAAGGGAUGAAGAAAUACAAUGGCAUCCAGGUAACUUCCUAACUAGCGCAUAGCAGGUAGCUAACCCACUCAUCUCUCCCUCUUUUCUUUAUAGCUUCUAUUUUUUUUAAAGAGAAAAAUAACGAUUAAAACAAGGGCAGGUUUAAAUAAUCGUCUCCUGAGCUGCACUUCAGUAUCUCAGGUAACAGCUGGAGCUGCCUGGUGGGAGCACAUCUUUUCCUUGAGUGUAAUUCACUAAUGACUGUGGUUCCAAGGAGGUGCGACCUUUAAAGGGAAUUGGCCCUUCUUUGAAGGCAGGUGAGAAUCUAGUCUCAGUGACAACCCAGCCUGAUUUGGAAGGGGGGAGUCAUAAGGGUUUUCGCCCAGCACACCAGGGUUGCAGCCUGCGCAAGACCUUCCAUAGCUAUUUCUGCCGGCUUGCUUCCUUCCCUUCCCAGCCACGAUGAGGCAGCUGAGGGUUGCCACGGAAACCGGCUCUGUCCUCCCACUGGAGGCUGCCAGCUCUGAUUUCCUGCAGAGUUAAGAAGGAGGCGGCUGCCACUCAGCUCUGGCCAAGAGUUACCCUUGGGAAUGUGAGCCCAGUGUGGCCAGAUAUACCAAGUUUUCAAGAGAAGCUGGACAUUUUGAAUGAACUCUCCCAAAGAUGAUAACAACUAAGGCAUUUUUUUAAGUGAAGUCCAAACAAAACACGUCUGCAGACUGGAUCGUGAUCACAGUUGGGGCUUCUGCACUAGAAUGCAUGAAAUCGGCACCUUCUUUUUUGGCUUGAUCAGUCUAAGGAGUCCUGGCUGGCUCCUUCCAGCCAUCUUGUCUGGGCUGUGUCUUCCUUAGCUCCCUACCUGAGUGCUGACACUGAGAAAGCCCAUCCCAUCUGGUGCCUGUCACUCUAGAACAGAGAACUCCACUCCUCAGAGCCCAGUGUUUGGAGGGUGCCCCUGUUCUGCACCGGGAAUGCAUCAGCCUUGGGGGAAGCUCUCCUGCAUUUUCUCAAGUAGUGUGAGCAAUGGGGCAAUCUGGCAAAUGGGGCCCCAGGGAAGCAGAUCUUCUAAGGGACUCCUUUGGUUUUAGCUAGUUUAAGGAUUAUUGGGGGACUGACUGCUGAAUGACAUCAAUGGACACAAAGGACAUCCUGAGUGGCCUUUCUGUGGCCAGCAUCCGCUUUGACUGG